UACGUAGGGUGCAAGCGUUGUCCGGAAUUAUUGGGCGUAAAGAGCUCGUAGGUGGCCUGUCGCGUCGGCUGUGAAAACUCGGGGCUCAACUCCGAGCUUGCAGUCGAUACGGGCAGGCUAGAGUUCGGCAGGGGAGACUGGAAUUCCUGGUGUAGCGGUGAAAAUGCGCAGAUAUCAGGAGGAACACCGGUGGCGAAGGCGGGUCUCUGGGCCGAUACUGACGCUGAGGAGCGAAAGCGUGGGGAGCAAACAGG
rnacentral:rRNA from 1 species